UUGUGUGCCAUGUGUGGAUGUGCACCAAGAGAGAUGAAGCCAUAUCUUCUACAACUCUUCAGUUUUUGAAAUUCAGAAGUUUCAAGAUUACGUUGACUGAAGUAGAUCAUAUUUGGCAAAGCUGUAGGUGACAGGGAAAGUUAAUCAACUGGAAGGAAAUGGAAGGGAAGAAUGUGGUCUACCUCUUCUCUCUCUACUUGAAAUUCAAGCAAGACCUUGGAGAAUACAGGUGGAGCUGGACCUGCAACCGGUGAUUGAACUACCAGUUUCUGAAGGCCACCCAUUCACACCUAUUUCCCGCUACUCCAGGUAAGACACUCACGGCAGGCAGUCUCCCGGGAAACAGAAGUCUCUAUUUGUUACCAUCAUCGUCUGGCUCAUGAUCCUAAUGAGGACCAAGAUUCCUGUGGGAUCAAGUUCCCCUCUGAGGAUUCUUGAGAGCCGCCUUCCUGAAUCCUCACAAACACCUUCCUACCUACUUCCUUCCAUUAACAAUUACCUUUCCAUCUUUAUUUUUUUGCCUACGACAAGCACCCUUAACACACUCAUACCUGUUUCACCUUUCUUCCGUAAUAACCUAGAUUUUAUUUUCAUGUUGAGGAAAAACACUAUUUUCCACUAGGCUAUCUGCAGCUGGAGGAGGCCGUGAGUCACCGUUUUGAGCCUAGAGAUGUAAACAGAAGUUGCUGGGAAGAGCUUCUAGGAAGCCUCUGUAAGAUGAUUAUCUCAGUUGGGUCUGUCUUUUUGCUUUGUCCAUCCCUUUUUUAACUUUGGAGUGUGCGUGUGAUACAGGAGGUGAAGCAGUCAUUUUGUGACUAUGAGGAGAUAAAGCCACAUGGGUAAGUUGGCAGAGCAGGACACUGGGAGAAGCAUGUGCUUCUGUUGGCAAUGAGGGAUCAUCAUACUAUUCCUAAACAGUCUAAGUCCUGAGGUCUCGUGUGUGUUCUUACUUGUUCAUUACUCUACUUUUUCAGGUUGUAUAUUACUUACAGUUCAAUACAAUCUAAACCUUAACCAGUCAUUCUCCUAGUUAGACUGUGAGCUCCUAGAGGGAAGUUUGGCAUGUGAUAUGUUUCUUAUGGUCCCUGCAGUAUCUAGCACGUGCUAGUAGGGAUCAGGUAUGCAAUACUCAUCUAUUGAUUGAUUUGGGAUACAGUGAGUUGAGGUAAGAGAGAAACAGAAGUCAACUCCAACACGUCAAAGAAUAAAGUUUGCUGUUGGUCUCAACAGCCCCAGGGCAUCUUUACUGCAGUGUGAUCUCUCUCUCCUAUCCAGUGAGGCUCCAAAAUAUGGCUUUAAUUAUCCUUCCUAAGUUUUACAAAAUUCACUGAGCUUUUGUCUUUAAAACAGUAUUCCUUCCCCAUCUCUGGUGUGAAAAAAAAAUUACGACCAGAGUUUUACAUCUUUUUCUUUCCGAUAUUUCCAGAAAAGUAUGCCCUAGUCUAAUUUGCAGGUGGAAAUUGAAAAUGUAUCUCGCUGACCUCAAGGGAUGAUAUUCAGGAGCUUCAGGGAAUCUUCAGCUAAUGGGAGAAGCACAAGCAGAUUAAUGGAUCCCAAAGACAAAAUGCCUAUCCUAGCUCAAAUGACAUCUCGUGGAUCUUGAAAAGUGGAGCUUUCUGUGCCCAUCUUCAGAAAGAGACAUCAGACAAUCUUAACAUUUCUGCAGCUGAACAUGGGAUGAGAAGAGGGCAAUCUUCCAGUGGGUCCACCACAUUUUCUUUCCAAUUGAGCCAAUUCAUGGUCUCUUCUGGCAACUGCAAGGCCAGAUGUGAAUUUACCACUUUAUUGAGUGAAGCGGUCUGGGCAUUGUGAGACUCACAUAUGCACCCAGAGGGGAAGGGACCCUCACUCUGGGAAUGGAAAUCAAUUCAUAAUUGUACCCAGACAAAUGGGGCACACACUUCAGAUCUAUUACAGGAUUUAGUCGGAAUCAGAAGAACAAAGGCAUAAAGUAGAAACACAUUCAUAUGCCAGGCACAGGUAGGGGCUGGGGAGGGUAGAAAGUCCAGGGUUCCUGGCCGGCGAAGAAGGGCUCUGCUCAGCAUCUCAUGCUGGAGUGCAAGAGUAUAAAAUAAGGUAACUAAGGACAUGAAGCUUGGCCGCCUGCACCAUUUGAAAAAAGAAAAAUCAAACUGUGUUUUAUGAGUUUUUCUGGCUGAGUGGGCUGAUGGUAAAAGUGAUUGCAUAAGUGAAUAAAUUGAAAUAUGUAUCCUG